GAUGAACGCUGGCGGCGUGCCUAAUACAUGCAAGUCGAGCGAACGGACGAGAAGCUUGCUUCUCUGAUGUUAGCGGCGGACGGGUGAGUAACACGUGGAUAACCUACCUAUAAGACUGGGAUAACUUCGGGAAACCGGAGCUAAUACCGGAUUAUAUUUUGAACCGCAUGGUUCAAAAGUGAAAGACGGUCUUGCUGUCACUUAUAGAUGGAUCCGCGCUGCAUUAGCUAGUUGGUAAGGUAACGGCUUACCAAGGCAACGAUGCAUAGCCGACCUGAGAGGGUGAUCGGCCACACUGGAACUGAGACACGGUCCAGACUCCUACGGGAGGCAGCAGUAGGGAAUCUUCCGCAAUGGGCGAAAGCCUGACGGAGCAACGCCGCGUGAGUGAUGAAGGUCUUCGGAUCGUAAAACUCUGUUAGUAGGGAAGAACAUAUGUGUAAGUAACUGUGCACAUCUUGACGGUACCUAAUCAGAAAGCCACGGCUAACUACGUG
rnacentral:rRNA from 1 species